CAUGGCUCAGAUUGAACGCUGGCGGCAGGCUUAACACAUGCAAGUCGAACGGUAACAUAAAGAAGCUUGCUUCUUUGAUGACGAGUGGCGGACGGGUGAGUAAUGCUUGGGAAUCUAGCUUAUGGAGGGGGAUAACUACGGGAAACUGUAGCUAAUACCGCGUAGAAUCGAGAGAUGAAAGUGUGGGACCUUCGGGCCACAUGCCAUAGGAUGAGCCCAAGUGGGAUUAGGUAGUUGGUGAGGUAAAGGCUCACCAAGCCGACGAUCUCUAGCUGGUCUGAGAGGAUGACCAGCCACACUGGGACUGAGACACGGCCCAGACUCCUACGG
rnacentral:rRNA from 1 species